CCUACGGGAGGCAGCAGUGAGGAAUAUUGGUCAAUGGGCGGAAGCCUGAACCAGCCAAGUAGCGUGCGGGAUGAAGGCCCUACGGGUCGUAAACCGCUUUUGCACGGGGAUAACACCCUCCACUUGUGGAGGUCUGCAGGUACCGUGCGAAUAAGGGCCGGCAAAUUCCGUGCCAGCAGCCGCGGUAAUACGGAAGGCCCGAGCGUUAUCCGGAUUCAUUGGGCUUAAAGGGAGCGUAGGCGGGCGUUCACGUCAGCGGUAAAAUCGCGCGGUUAAACCCCGUCGUGCCGUUGAAACGGAUGUUCUUGAGUGGGCGAGAGGUAUGCGGAAUGCGUGGUGUAGCGGUGAAAUGCAUAGAUAUAACGAAGAACUCCGAUUGCGAAGGCAGCAUACCGGCGCCCAACUGACGCUGAAGCACGAAAGCGUGGGUAUCGAACAGGAUUAGAUACCCGAGUAGUC
rnacentral:rRNA from 1 species